rnacentral:ncRNA from 1 species
CACUCACUGCCACCGGGUAGGAAAUGCUGUGAGCAUUCGACUGCACAUCGUUAGGUCUUAGAAGAUGUGCGGGCGGAUGCUUUCUUUUU